ensembl:snoRNA
AUCCUUUUGCAGUUCCUAAGUGUGAUGAUUAGGUUUUCACAUUCAUGUGUGAGAUGUACCUCCCUCAAAAAGUUUAUGACAUCCGCAUAUUACCCUUCUGAUG